GCACCGGUGGUGUAAUGGCGUAGAGCAUUCCCGCUUGCUCAGCAUGAGGUGCGGGUUCGUACCCCGCCUGGCGCU
rnacentral:tRNA from 1 species